rnacentral:misc_RNA from 1 species
GUCGGGUUAAAGGUGAUGCAGGUUAUUUUUCCCUAAUACCAUUAGGGUCAGUCAGGUCAGGCAUCUAGUGGGGCAAGCAAAAUUGCCAUCCCUAGUUUAACCACACAAGUUCAGCAAGCUAAAUGUAAACCAUGCUAAAAUUAUAUUUCAAGAUCAUAUAAAACAGGAUCAAAUUUUCAGAGAACAAACAAAAAUGAAAUAAAGAAGCAAAUAGAAAGACAUCAAAUCUUCACUCUAAAAGAAUUCAUCCUCAGCAUCCAUAUGAGAUCAAAGCAAAAGAAUCUAAGCAGAAAUACUUUAACCUACAAGCAUGCACUUAAUUUGUUGAUGAAUGGACUGC